rnacentral:rRNA from 1 species
UACAGAGGGUGCAAGCGUUAAUCGGAAUUACUGGGCGUAAAGCGUGCGCAGACGGUUAUAUAAGUCGGGUGGGAAAGCCCCGGGCUCAACCUGGGAAUUGCAUUCGAGACUGUGUAGCUAGGGUACGGAAGAGGGAAGCGGAAUUUCAGGUGUAGCGGUGAAAUGCGUAGAUAUCUGAAGGAACACCAGUGGCGAAAGCGGCUUCCUGGUCCAGUACCGACGUUCAGGCACGAAAGCGUGGGGAGCAAACAGG